GAAACGUUCACUGUUUGAGAGUGCGUUUACUAAGAAUGGCCUGUUUCUUUUUUUCUUUUCUUUCUGAGACCUACAGGAUUGUAAAGGCCGUAAGCAAUAUAUUGGGAUUAUUAUGAUCUACAGUGCAUGCAAGUUCAUGAUUUUACAUGCUUUUUUUUCUUAUUGCUACUGUAUGUGUGUUUACAGCUUUGCUGUUGCUGGCAUGUCUGAUCUCAUGUAAGAGAGAAAAAGUCUUCAUCUCAACAGAUGACGGCCCUGGAUGGCAUCUACUGCCCUCAAAUAUUGAGACACCUGGAACUGAUUGCAACGUUCCCUUUCCAGGGGGAAAGGUUGACGUGAUCCAAAAAGCUGUAGAUGUCAUAGAUGUCAAAACUAUGAAUACCGCGAACCCUGCCGUCGAAAAGCAAGAAUUUACGGAAAGGAGUAAUGGCCAGUUGUCUCAGUUUGGGUGUGCAGAAUUCGGUUUCAAUCAGUUUGAAAUGGAAAGGACUAGUUCAAUGAGGAAGUCAUGGCAAGAGUUUGGAUUUGCACAGGUAUGCUUACAAAUAAUGAAUGAGACAUCUGCUCUGUUGUUUUUGUAUAUGUUUGAAUAUGUGUGUGUUGUUAAAUCUAUGCUUUACUACAUUUGAAAAUGUAUCUGCUACUAAUUUCAUAAAGAGAUCCACGAGGAGCAGAAAAUACACCUAUACAGAUGCUUCCUUCC
ensembl:lncRNA